GAUGAACGCUGGCGGCGUGCCUAAUACAUGCAAGUCGAGCGAACAGACGAAGCUCUUGCUCCUAUGAAGCUAGGGGCGGACGGGUGAGUACUACGAGGCUAACUUGUAUUUAAGACUGGCAUAAGUUAGCGAAACCGAAUAUAAUAUAGGACCAUAGAUUGAACCGCAUGGUUCAAUAGUGAAAGAGGGAUUAGCUGUGCCUUAUAGGUAUAACCGCGCCGCAUUAGCUAGUUGGUAGGGUAACGGCUUACCAAGGCUACGAUGCGUAGCCGAUCUGAGAGGGUGAUCAGUCACACUGGAACUGAGACACGGUCCAGACUCCUACGGGAGGCAGCAGUAGGGAAUCUUGCGCAAUGGGCGAAAGCCUGACGGAGCAACGCCGCGUGUGUGAAGAAGGUCUUCGGAUCGUAAAGCACUGUUAUUUGGGAAGAACAAAAGUAUGAGUAUCUAUUCCCGUCUUGACGUUACCAAAUCAGAAAGCCACGGCUAACUUCGUG
rnacentral:rRNA from 1 species